rnacentral:rRNA from 1 species
GGAGGGAGCUAGCGUUGUUCGGAAUCACUGGGCGUAAAGGGCGCGUAGGCGGCCGAGUAAGUCGUGUGUGAAAGACCGGGGCUCAACUCCGUGUACUGCAUGCGAUACUGCCCGGCUAGAGAAAGGUAGAGGCGAGUGGAAUUCCCGGUGUAGCGGUGGAAUGCGUAGAUAUCGGGAAGAACACCUGUGGCGGAGGCGGCUCGCUGGGCCUUUUCUGACGCUGAAGUGCGAAAGCGUGGGGAGCAAACAGGAUUAGAUACCCUGGUAGUCCACGCCGUAAACGAUGGGCACUAGGCGUUGGGAGGACUGACCCUCUCAGUGCCGUAGCUAACGCGUUAAGUGCCCCCGCCUGGGGAGUACGGCCGCAAGGCUG